GGCGAACGCUGGCGGCGCGCCUAACACAUGCAAGUCGAACGGAACCGUCGUGGUUUGUGGCAGUCGGGGGGGGAACGUGGGGAUAAUGUGCCUCUUUUCUCGGGAUCUCGUUUCUAAAGGAACGUUAAUAACGAAUGUGUAUGUUUGGAGGGCUCGUCCAGCAAGUGAACUGGUAGGGGGAAGAGAGCGGUGCGGGUUCUAUAAGCUAGUUGGUGAGGUUACGGCGUACGAAGGGUACGACGGAUAACUGGUCUGAGAGGAUGAUCAGUCACACGGGAACUGAGACACGGUCCAGACUCCUACGGGAGGCAGCAGUGAGGAAGCUUGCACAAUGGGCGAAAGCCUGAUGCAGCGACGCCGCGUGAGGGAUGAAGGCCUGCGGGUUGUAAACCUCUGUCAGUAGGGAAGAAGAAUGACGGUACCUACUGAGGAAGCUUCGGCUAACUACGUG
rnacentral:rRNA from 1 species